UGAGGUGUCUCAUUUCCGGACACCAAGCCACAGGAACCAUAUAAAAAGGCUCACACCUCAAUGAUCCUCAAUCGCCUUGGCUUCUUCACUUGCUCCCAUCGGUGAAUUGGUUUUGCCCACGUCCCAGGAAGAUGUCUUACCAGCAGCAAUGCAAACAGCCCUGCCUGCCCCCUCCAUGCUGUGUGAAGCAGGUCAAGACUAAAUGUGUGGAUCCCUGUCCGUGCCCUCCUAAGUGC